CCUACGGGGGGCUGCAGUGGGGAAUUUUGGACAAUGGGCGCAAGCCUGAUCCAGCCAUGCCGCGUGCAGGAUGAAGGCCUUCGGGUUGUAAACUGCUUUUGUACGGAACGAAAAGACUCUGGUUAAUACCUGGGGUCCAUGACGGUACCGUAAGAAUAAGCACCGGCUAACUACGUGCCAGCAGCCGCGGUAAUACGUAGGGUGCGAGCGUUAAUCGGAAUUACUGGGCGUAAAGCGUGCGCAGGCGGUUAUGUAAGACAGAUGUGAAAUCCCCG
rnacentral:rRNA from 1 species